AAAGCAUAUCAUAAAAUCCCGCUUCAUAAAUUCAUCAAUUCAAAAGUAGGAACGAGUCAUUGUGGUUCCCUGUUCCCUACACACAUGCUUCGACGCUCAAUAACUCUAACCUAGAUCGUCCGCCUUGCUUCGCCGCUCCAUCUCUUUUCCCUAGUCGUCUCUCUCCGUUCGGCCCUGUUCCCCUGCUUCACCCUCUUCCACCCUGCAUAACCCUAUAUCGUAUGCCCUCCUCUGUGUAACUGAUGCUCCAAUCAGCUAUUCAAAGGAUAAUUCAAGUCACUUAUGAGCUUUGAUUGUGGCUAGAGAUCUCAUUGUCUAUCCACCUAAUCUUUGUGCCCCCAGCAUAUUCAAUGUUACUACAAAGGUCAGUUUUUUUUUUAACUGUCACUCAUGAAAUUUCUUUUUUAUUUUCAUAUGUAAUUUAAUCUAUUCAAUUAAUAACAAGAAAAAAUGAUUGGGGAUGAAAUAGUGAUAUGGGGUGAAGCUUUUUGACCAAGUCACCUUAACACCAAUAUUGCAUGACAACUUGACUGUGCAGGGGAAAAUAAGUCCAAUGUGUGGGAAAUUUGUCCAACUUAUUUUACUGUAAUGAUAACCACUUUCCAUAAUGGAUGAAAUAUAUGUACUACAUAGACCAUUUUUAAUACAUAAAUUGCUCUUAUUGUCUAAGUUAUAAAAAAAAACUCUCAAAUGAACAAUUCCAUUUUCUUGACUAUGAACAAAAGCAUUCUCAUUUUGUUUCAUAGUAUCUUGAAGAGUAUUUUCAUUCCAUGGUUUCACAAGUUGUUUCUUUUAACAUUGUGCUUCUUUUAUUUUUAAAUGCACAAAUACUAUAUAUGGAUUCAUUUGGAAAUGAAUCAAAUGAUACACUACUAGCUUGUUCAUCACGAGUUUAUUACAAUAAGGUUUGGAAGAGGUACUAUAAGUUUGAGCAAACAUGGAGAUUUUGUUAUAAUUUUGGAAGGCAAUUGUUCAUAAGUUGGAUAAACAAGAUGAGCAAUUAUGCAAAUGAAAUCUUCACGUCAACUUAUGUGUUUCUUCAUGAACUAGUAUUUAGUUUGAUAGUUUAGUGUUUUAUGUAAUUACUAGCAUAAUGUUUAGACUUAUUAAGUCUUUUGGAAGAUAUUUUUGUUAUUAAUAUUGAGAAUAUUAUUGUAAGAUCAUUUAAGUUUUAAUUUAAGUAAUGCUUUUGUUUUU